ACCUCGAAGUCUCUGAAGAUCGCCUCGCCUCACUGAUAGUAUGGCUGAGCCGAAGAACCUGGAUCUGCACACGAAAAAACAUGUGCAGGAAAGGGCAUGAGUACACCACAGCGGUACCUAGUAAGUACCAAGCCUAACCUCGGUCGAGUAGUGAAGAGGAAGGUCAGUGCCCUACUGGUUAUAUAUAUAUAUAAAAACGAGGUAAAACAGUAUGAAGUGCGACAGUAUAACUAAAGACACUAGCAGUUGAUAAAGAGUAAAAUCACAGACAGAAUAUGCUCAGUACACAGAGAUAGCAAUAGGGGAUCUCUCAAGAUAUCAUCCCGUAGUCCCAAACGUAAAAGUGCAAAGGAUCUCCCAAGAUAUCGUACCGUAGUCUGAAUCAUAAAUGUGUAGGGAAAACUCUCGGAAUACCAAUCCCUAGUCCCAAAGUAAAUAUCCAGAACGGAAAAUCUACCGGGUGAUGUCCUGUAGUCCCAAACAUAAUGUGCGGGGGGAACUAUGGGAAUACCGAUCCGUAGUCCGAAAGUAAACAUGCAGUGGGAGAUCUCCCGUAAUAUCAUCCCGUAGUCCCAAAGUAAACACACAACAAUCCCAAAAAUCUUCUCCGAGCCCACAUCUCGGAAUCAGAUAAAAGUUAUCAAUUUAGAAUACCAUUCACUCACGAGAACACUCGUCCAAAAAUUAUCAGAAUCCGACGCCAAAAUCUCCCUCAAGUUGGGGAACUUUUUCCCAUUUCUCCCAAUUUUUCAUCCUAAAUCCGAAAUUAAAUGAUAAAACUAACAAUAUACUAAUGAAAUACAAAUAGAAAGGGAGAAUUGUUACCCAAUGAUCUUCUCUUCAAAAAUCCCACAGAAUCGCCAUACCCCGAGCUCCAAAUUUGAUUUUUCCAAAUUAUAAACUCAAACCAUCGAAAUUUCAAAUUUCUGCCCAGCGAUUUCCGCAUCUGUUGUCAUCUGAGCGCACAUGCAGUCUCGUACUUGCGGAAAAGGCAUUGCAGGUGCAAAAUUCACUUGACGGACUGGGUCCGCAUCUGCGGCUCCGCAUUUGCGGUCACCCAGCCGCACCUGCGGUUUCUGGAGCCUUGGACUAUUCCCACUUCUGCGAUCACCAAGCCGCUUCUGCGGUGCCGCACCUACGGUCCACCACACGCAGGUGCAGUUAUGAUAGGUUCAGUAACCCUAUAUUUGCCUAAGUCCAAAUUCCAAUACGUUAAGCAUCUGAAACUCACCCCAGGCCCCCGGGACCACAACCAAACAUACCAACCAGUCCUAAAACAUCAUACGAACUUAUUCCAACCCUCAAAUUACAUCAAAUAACGCUAAAACCUCGAAACACCCUCCAAUCCAAACCUAAAGAACUUUAAACUUCAAGCAACCUACAACCGAUGGCGAAACCAACCAAACCAAGUCCGACUAACCCCGAAAUUUUCAUACAAGUCACAUUCAAUACUACGGAUAUGUUCCAACUUUUGGCAUUGUAUUUCGACCCCGAUAUCAAAAUCUCACUAUCGAUCCAAAAACUUCAAAAAUUCAACUUUUGGCAUUUCAAGCCUAAAUAAGUUACGGACCUCCAAAAUACAAUUUGAACAUGCCUCUAAGCCCGAAAUCACUCAACGGAGCUAACAGAAUCGACGAAAUUCUAUUCCGAGGCCGUCUUCGUAUUGCUCCAACUACGAUCCAAAACUUAAGUGUCCCAAAACACUCCGAAACUCAAAAUGAAUCUUCCCGGCAACUCACAAUAGCGGAACAAACACGGGAAAAAAUACUUAAUAGGGGAUUGGGGCAUUAAUUCUUAAAACUACCGGCCGGGUCGUUACAUCCUCCCCCUCUUAAAACAUUCGUUCGUCCACGAACGAGCAUAGAGACAUACGUGAAGUAGUGAAAAGAUGAGGGUAACGGCUGCGCAUAUCCUGUUCGGUCUCCCAGAUCGCCUCCUUGACCGGCUGAUCCCUCCACUGAACCUUCAUUGAUGCAAUGUGUUUUACCUCAACUUUCGAAUCUGCCUGUCCAAUAUCGCCACUGGCUCCUCACCAUAAGAUAGAUCCUUGUCCAACUGGAUUGAACUGAAAUCUAACAUGUGCGAUGGAUCAUCGUGAUACUUUCAGAGUAUCGAAAUAUGAAAUACCAGAUGAACUCCUGCAAAGAUGGAAGAUAAAGCAAAAUCAUAAGCGACCUCCCCAACACGUUGCAAUAUCUCAAACAGACCAAUAAACCUCGGACUCAAUUUCCCCUUCUUCCCAAAUCUCAUAACGCCCUUCAUAGGCGAAACCCGAAGCAAAGCCUGCUUUCCAACCAUAUAGGAAACAUCACGAACCUUUCGGUCCGCAUAACUCUUCUGUCUGGACUGGGCUGUGUGAAGUCUAUCCUGAAUCACCUUAACCUUCUCUAAGGCAUCCUGAACCAAGUCCAUGCCCAAUAAUCUAGCCUCACCCGACUCAAACAAACCCACCGGGGAUCUACACCGCCUACCAUACAAAGCCUCAUACGGUGCCAUCUGAAUGCUAGACUGAUAAAUGUUGUUGUAGGCAAACUCUGCCAGUGGCAAGAACUGAUCCCAAGAACCUCCAAACUCUAUCACAUACGCACGAAGAAUAUCCUCAAGAAUCUGAAUAGUGCGUUUGGACUGUCCGUCCAUCUGGGGGUGAAAUGUUGUGCCCAACUCCACCCGAGUACCCAACUCAUGAUGUACGUCCCUCCAGAAGUGUGAUGUGAUCUGAGUAACUCUGUCCGAAAUGAUGGAAACUGGAAUACCAUGCAAGCGAACAAUCUCCCGAAUAUAAAUAUUCGCCAACCGCUCCGAAGAAUAUAUAGUACACACAUGAAUGAAAUGUGCGAACUUGGUCAGUCGAUCCACAAUUACCCAAAUGGCAUCGAACUUCCUCAAAGUCCGUGGGAGUCCAACUAAGAAGUCUAUGGUGAUCCGCUCCCACUUCCACUCUGGAAUCUCUAUCUGUUGAAGCAACCCACCCGGUCUCUGGUGCUCAUACUUUACCUGCUGACAAUUGAGGCACCGAGCUACAAAUCCAACUAUAUCAUUCUUCAUCUGCCUCUACCAAUAGUACUGUCUCAAGUCCUGGUACAUCUUUGCGGCAUCCCGAUGGAUGGAAUACCACGAACUAUGGGCCUCCUCUAGAAUCAACUCUUGAAGCCCAUCAACAUUGGGUAUACAUACCCGACCCUGCAUCCUCAAUAACCCGUCAUCCCCAAUAGUCACAUCUCUGGCAUCACCAUGUAGAACCUUGUUCUUGAGGAUGAGCAAAUGAGGGUCAUCAUACUAACGCACUCUGAUAUGAUCAAAUAAGGAAGAUCGAGAAAUCACACAAGUUAGAAUCCGACUAGGCUCCGAAAGAUCCAAUCUCACAAACUGGCUAGCUAAGGCCUGGACAUCAAUCACCAUGGGCCUCUCCGCUGCUGGUAGAUAAGCCAAACUCCCCAAACUCUCAGCCCGACAACUCAAGACAUCGGUCACCACAUUGGCCUUGCCUGGGUGAUACAAGAUAGUGAUAUUAUAAUCCUUCCGCAGCUCUAACAACCUCCUAUGGCGCAAAUUAAGGUCAUUCUGCUUGAACAAAUGCUGCAAACUCCGGUGAUCAGUAUAAAUCCCACAAGGAACACCAUACAAAUAAUGACGCCAGAUCUUCAAGGCGUGAACAAUAAUACGUAACUUGAGAUCACGGACAUGAUAAUUCUUCUCAUGUACCUAUAACUGUCGGGAUGCGUAGGCAAUCACCCUACCGUCCUGUAUCAAUACCACUCCAAGGCCAAUCCUCUAAGCAUCAUAGUAGACAGUAUAAGACCCCUAACCUGUAGGCAAUAUCGAUAUUGGGGAUGUAAUCAAAGUUGUCUUGAGCUUUUAUAAGCUCUCCUCGCACUCUUCCGCACACUAUAAUGGAGCACCCUUCUGGGUCACCUAGUCAUAGGUGCUGCAAUAGAUGAAAAUCCCAUAACAAAUUGACUGUAAUCACCCGCCAAGCCAAGAAAACUAUGAAUCUCUAUAGAUGAGGAAUACCAACUCUGCACUUCUCCAACUUUCUUCAGAUCCACCUUGAUACAUUCACUCGAUAUCACAUGACCCAAGAAUGUCACAGAAUCCAACCAAAACUCACAUUUCGAGAACUUUGCGUAUAAUUUCUUUUCUCUCAAAGUCUGAAGCACUGUCCUCAGGUGCUACUCAUGAUCUUCCUGAAUCCAGGAGUAUACCAGAAUAUCAUCAAUAAAGACAAUGACGAAUGAGUCAAGAUAUGGCUGGAACACACUGUGCAUCAAAUGCAUGAAAGUUGUCGGGGCAUUGGUCAGCCCAAAUAAUAUAACAAGGAACUCGUAAUGACCAUACCGAGUCUAGAAGGCAGUCUUCAGGAUAUAUGGAUCCCGAAUCUUCAACUGAUGGUAACAUGAAUGCAAGUCAAUCUUAGAAAAUAGUCGUGCCCCCUGUAACUGGUAAAACAAAUCAUCACUAUGAGGCAAAGGAUAUCGGUUCUUCACUAUAACUUUGUUCAACUGGCGAUAAUCAAUGCACAUACGCAUAGAACCAUCCUUUUUCUUCAUAAACAAGACAUGAGCACCCCAAGGUGAUACACUAGGCCGAAUAAAACCCUUAUAAAGAAAUUCCUAUUAACUGAUCCUUCAACUUCUUCAACUCAGGAGGAGCCAUACGGUAAGGAGGAGUAGAAAUGGGUUGAGUGCCCGAUAACAAAUCAAUGCCGAAAUUGUCACGCCACAGGUGCGACCGGCGCUCAGUCGAGUGAACCCAACUAAGCAAGUCUUAUCAAACGCUUCCUACCUAACUCAAUAUGAAUAAGUAAACCAUGCUUCCAUUUAUUUAGACGAGGAAAGAUAGUACAUUCAACGUUGUUAGUUCAUUUUAUAUCAUAACGUUAAGACGUAGUUAAGUUCCAAGAUUCCAUACAAUUACACUUUAGAGAAGCAAGAGUUAGAAUUACAACAUAGUUUGUAUACCCAUCCAACACCCAUACAUAACCCACACAUAUGUCUACGGAGCCUCUAAAGAUACGAAAGACAAGUAUGACAAUGCCGGCAACAAGUCUCCGGCUAUACCUCAAAAGUGGGAGUCUGCAACAAAAGAUGUACAAUAUAACCCCUUGAAGGUGAAAGGGGCUCACCAAGACAUUGAGAAGAAGGUACUCCGCUAUGCCCGAUCGGCACUAUCCGCAAUGGAGCCACCUACAUUCAUAUAAAAAUGUAGCGCCCCCGGCAAAAGGGACGUUAUUACCAUGGAAUAGUACUAGUAUGUCUAACUAAACACCAUCUAGUUAGAAACAACUUUCAUACCAAACAUAAGGAAAUCACAAGUAUAACUCAAAAGCUUUAAACGAUCACAACAUUAUCAAGGUAAGAGAAUCAUACAAUUUUCACAUUUGUUUCCAUAACCUUUAGUUUGGGGCAUUUCAUACUGUUCAUUGUUGUUCACGAUACCACCGCUAGCUUGAACGGAGUCCGAUCUCGACCCGAUUGGCUAGGUUGCCUCAUUUGAGACAUAUACCUCAAUCACAAGCUCAUUCUCACUUACUGGAAUUCAAUAUCAGCACAAUACCACCAUGUGUAUGACAUGGCGUCCGAUCACUGCUCGAUCGGCUAGGCCGCCUUACCAAGGCGUUUCCCUUUUCCAUCAAUCAUCUCACUUAAAUCUUUGUUUCACAUAUAUUAUUUCAUAGGCAUUUAGGGCCACAACUAUCACGUCAUAUAUUUAGGAUUAGGCGACAUUUCACAUCAUUCCUAAUUUCAAUGUUAGAUUUGUAAUUUAGAGUAAUAUGUGCACACAAGAGCAAAUAACACUGUAAGCAUAGAGGAUACUUCACAUAGAUGGCACAACAUAUGCAUCUUCAAUCUCAAUUUAAGGUCUAAGUAUUUCAUUACAUGAUUCAUAUUCCUUGCCCCUUUUCAAGUUAUCAAGACUAGCACAUGGAUCAUAUCGAGACAUAUCUUUCACGUAUAUAAGGUCGCACCCCAAAUUCAUGUGAAACUACAAUCAAUACAACAAUUCAACUUUAAUCUUACCGUGUUUACACAAACACCGAUGGAGCUCAAUUUCUAAAAGACGGGGUUUUAGCCAUACAUACCUCAACUGAGCUUUCUCUAAUCCUAUAACAUUCCGGAAUGUUUGCACUUCAAUCUAUUUAAGAAAUAUAACACAAUUGAACCCAUAAUCAGGAAAAGAUUAUAAUCUAAGCUCACUUGAGCAUUUUAUCAAGCAUUGAGUGCUCAUUAAGGCCUUAUGGUCCUUUUAUGCAGGAUUACACUUAGCCCAUUCCCCAUGCUUCUCUAUUUAUAAUUUUCCCAUAUCUUCUAAGAACACAUGCAUGCAAUGAAACCACCCUUAUCCCUAUGAAUUUCUAACUAAUGUCCCCUUAUAGCUAUGUAUAAAAUUAAGAGCUGAGGUGAUGAAGUCUUACCUCAUGGGAUGAAGAUUUUGGUGCUCCACUUGAUUAUCUUUAAUGUUUUUAACAAGGAUUUGUGGAGCACAUUUUGAUGAAAGGCACUUCCCCUCUCUUAGACCCUCCCUCUCACUCUAAAAGCACCAGGAAAUAGGCUCAAAAUGAUCUAUUGCACAGAAUAUAACAACAGGGGGUCGGGUUUAAAAUUUAGAAAUUUGGAGCCCCGACUCAGAUCUAUGAUCGCAUAUGCGAUCGCAAAGUUGACAUGUGGCCCGCAUAAUGGACUGCAAAAAUGCUCCCAAAAACCUGAACAAUCUGCCUGGAUAUGCGACGAGAAUGCGGUCCGUAUACCCAUUCUAUGGUAGCAAAAGUUCCAAGGGAAUUAUACGACGACUAUGCGGCCCGCAUAUCGAUUAUGCGAUCGCAUAUUUGGCCGCAUAGGUGAACUCAAAAUUAACCUUCACACUGCCUGACUCUGCGGUGACUAUGAGGUCUGCAUAACUAUUAUGUGACCGCAGAGUUGACCGUAGAAUUGCACUUUUCUGGGACUGAAUCAACUAUAAGGGUAUCAAUACUGACAUCUCUCACAUAAGCUACAUACGCGUCACACCCCUUCUCAACCAUUCGCUGAGCCUUAAGUAAAGAAAUAACUCUACUGGGUGUGUGAUCUAAGGUACCCCUCCACUCUACUCGCGGUAUACGAGGCAUAGCCAGCGUCACGGUUUUGGCGUGACAAUCAGGAAUAACAUAAUGGGGCGACAACUAGUCCAUGGCCAAGAUAACAUAAAAAUCUAUCAUGCUGAGCAAUAAUAAAUCGACUCUUGUCUCAAAGCCACUAAGAGCAAUCAAGCACGACCUAUAAACACGGUCCGGAAAGUGCCAAGCAUAACCUCGGUCGAGUAGUGACGAGGAAGGUCAGGGCCCUACUAGUUAUAUAUAUAUAUAUAAGAGUAAAAAUGAGGUAAAACGGUAUGAAGUGCGACAAUAUAACUAAAGACACUGUCACACCUCCUUUUUACACACCCGAGGGCGUAUAAGGUGAGUUUUUCGAUUUAAGUGACAUUACUCGAAAUGGGAUUAAUUAUUUAUCAGAGUCGCCACAUGGAAUAAUUUAAUUGGUGUUCUAAGUCACCGAUUUAUUUUAAAUCCCAAAUCGAGGAAAUUUCGACUUUCCUUUUGAAGUCUGCGAACCAGAAAUUCUAGAUAAGGAAUUCUGUUAACCCGGGAGAAGAUGUUAGACAUUCUCGGGUUCCGUGGUUCUAGCACUGUCACUUAAACUAUUAAUAAUGGGCUUAAUUAUCUGAUUAAUUACAUGUUUUAACCUGAGGUGCAUUUUUUAACUUAUUAACCGCUUUUAACUAUUUUAAACGCUUUUAGGAAGAUUCAACGUCAUUUAAAACAUGCCUUGAACCACGCCACAUGAAAUGCACCCGCGGUCCACGAUACACUUUAUUUAACGUUGUUGAGAAUUGAAGAUGGGUCACAUGAAAUGCAUACUCGAAUUUAAUAAACAAAAGGAAACCAAUUUAAAUAGCGCGCUUAAAGCAACUACGAGAAUUCAAAUUAAUAACAAGUUUUGCGAGGGCCAUGAGAAAAUUCAAUUAAUGGCACACCUUGAGUUUUAAAGAGUUAACAUUAAUUAAAAUGAGGGCCAUGGGUUAUCUAACUUGCUUAUAGCACACCUCAAGUCUAAAAAGGAAUAGGCAUUUUAGAGGCAAUUGAAACUAAUCAAUAUACGCUUAAAAUAAUCCACAAUUAUUCAAGCUUAUUUAAUACUAAAUUAAUAAAUCAUAUGAGGGCCAUGGAUGAUAUGGUGAAAAUAGAACACCUCAAUUUAAUCAAAAGAAUUACUUUCACUUAAGAUUUUAAAACAUAUUUACGCGACUACUGAAACUGCGCAUAGGCCUUCAUGCGUUUGGACUAGGCCUGCUAUGGGCAAAACCAAGCAGUAGCAAUUAAAUGAGCUACUGGGCUCGAGAAGCAGGCCCAAGCAGCAUAUGGCAAUACCAUUCCCAUUUGCAAAUGACCUCAAGUCCAGACCCAAAGUAAAUCCCUAUUCUCAUGACAAAGAAACGAAAACUAAAUAAUAUGACAACAUUUAAAACUGUAAAGAGACCAUUUGAGCUCAACUAAUUAUCAACGAUGCACAGUAAUUAUAAUGUGAAUAAUAGGCUUGAAAGGCUACAAAACCACAUCACAUGUCUAAGAUAAAUUCUGUUUUUGAAUUCAAUUGAGCUAGUGAUAUGGAGGCAAAAUUGUGCAACAUUCUUAUGUACAUCAGUCCUAAGCUAGUUUCUAACUGAUUGUAUGAAAUUUAAAACCUCAGUUAAAACCUUCUACUAAUAGAAACAGUAGCGAAAACCCAAGAGAUUAACAUGCCAUUACUUUGAAUCUAAAAACUGCAUCAGACUCUUAACAAAAUCAAACAAAAAAAAAGCAGCAGUAAUUCAUCUUAUACUAUAUCCAUAACAUGAGAAGGCUAAUAUAACAUGCUUAAGAUUAAAUUAUUACAAGAAUACUAAAUGAAUGGAGGAACAGGGAAAAUAAAACUCAAUAACAACUUGUAUUCAAUCAUGUUUCACAUUCAAAUUGCAGAUGUACACUUCACAUGUUGUCUAUAGUUUGAAAAAUACCUGAAAAUCAAGAGGAAAACAAAGAGGAUGAAGAGUUAGCAAUAGCAGCAAAUCAACUCAACAACCCAACUUCUUCAGUCCAUACUUAAACCCCAAAAAUUUAUACAAGAUCUCUAGUGCUUUUACCCCAAUAAAAAAAUGAAAACUAGCUGACCGUACUCGAAAUUUUCUUGUGUUUUCUAGUUCUAAAACUCCUAUCAGUGUGUAUUUUUUUAGUUUUAUUUGAUGCAAAGAAAAU
rnacentral:lncRNA from 1 species